UGUAAUCGCGUUCUAACCUUUUGACCGCCAACUAGAAUGUCAUAAGCACGCUUUCGACACUCGAGCGACUUUCAGAGGUCAGACAGAUAGCCCAAAGGGUAUUCGUUGCAAUCCUCGAUCCCAAUCGUCACAUCUACCAAAGGCUAUAACACUCCGAUACGAGAUCGAAGCCACAUUCCUCCGAUCAUUUUAUGACGAUCAAAAUCGAUAUUGACCUACCAUACGGAAAAGUGCACAACAAAAGUACCAUAACGCAAAGCAACGAAGGCCGCGAAGCUCAACGUCACCC
rnacentral:rRNA from 1 species